UACGUAGGGGGCAAGCGUUGUCCGGAUUUAUUGGGCGUAAAGAGCGUGUAGGCGGCCAGAUAGGUCAGCUGUGAAACUCGAGGCUCAACCUCGAGACGCCGGUUGAAACCAUCUGGCUAGAGUCCGGAAGAGGAGAGUGGAAUUCCUGGUGUAGCGGUGAAAUGCGCAGAUAUCAGGAAGAACACCCGUGGCUAAGGCGGCUCUCUAGUACGGUACUGACGCUGAGACGCGAAAGCGUGGGGAGCGAACAGG
rnacentral:rRNA from 1 species